rnacentral:ncRNA from 1 species
UACCUGGUUGAUCCUGCCAGUAGUCAUAUGCUUGUCUCAAAGAUUAAGCCAUGCAAGUCUAAGUACGAGCUCUCGUACAGUGAAACUGCGAAUGGCUCAUUAAAUCAGUUAUGGUUCAUUUGAUCGUACAGUUUACUUGGAUAACUGUGGUAAUUCUAGAGCUAAUACAUGCGAGAAGCGCCGACCUCGCGGGAGGCGUGCAUUUAUCAGACCAAAAACCGGCCGCGUCUUCGGGCGCGUUCGCCUUGGUGAACUUUGCGGAUCGCACGGUCUAGCACCGGCGACGGAUCAUUCAAGUGUCUGCCCUAUCAACUUUCGUCGGUACGGUAUUUGCCUACCGAGGUUCUUACGGGU